rnacentral:rRNA from 1 species
GAUGAACGCUGGCGGCGUGCCUAAUACAUGCAAGUCGAGCGAACGGACGCGAAGCUUGCUUCUCUGAUGUUAGCGGCGGACGGGUGAGUAACACGUGGAUAACCUACCUAUAAGACUGGGAUAACUUCGGGACACCGGAGCUAACACCGGAUAAUCUUUUGAACCGCAUGGUUCAAAAGUGAAAGACGGUCUUUCUGUCACUUAUAGAUGGAUCCGCGCUGCAUUAGCUAGUUGGUAAGGUAACGGCUUACCAAGGCAACGAUGCAUAGCCGACCUGAGAGGGUGAUCGGCCACACUGGAAGUGAGACACGGUCCAGAGUCCUACGGGAGGCAGCAGUAGGGAAUCUUACGCAAUGGGCGAAAGCCUGACGGAGCAACGCCGCGUGAGUGAUGAAGGUCUUGGGAGCGUAAAACUCUGUUAUUAGGGAAGAACAUAUGUGUAAGUAACUGUGCACAGCUUGACGGUACCUAAUCAGAAAGCCACGGCUAACUACGUG